GAUGAACGCUGGCGGCGUGCCUAAUACAUGCAAGUCGAGCGAACAGACGAGAGUGCUUGCACUCUCUGACGUUAGCGGCGGACGGGUGAGUAACACGUGGGUAACCUACCUAUAAGACUGGGAUAACUUCGGGAAACCGGAGCUAAUACCGGAUAAUAUUUAGCUUCGCAUGAAGCAAUAGUGACAGACGGUUCUGCUGUCACUUAUAGAUGGACCCGCGGUGUAUUAGCUGGUUGGUGAGGUAACGGCUCACCAAGGCAACGAUGCAUAGCCGACCUGAGAGGGUGAUCGGCCACACUGGGACUGAGACACGGCCCAGACUCCUACGGGAGGCAGCAGUAGGGAAUCUUCCGCAAUGGACGAAAGUCUGACGGAGCAAUGCCGCGUGAGUGAAGAAGGUUUUCGGAUCGUAAAACUCUGUUGUAAGGGAAGAACAAGUACGUUAGUAACUGAACGUACCUUGACGGUACCUUACCAGAAAGCCACGGCUAACUACGUG
rnacentral:rRNA from 1 species